rnacentral:rRNA from 1 species
ACUGGUUGAUCUUGCCAGCAAGAUACACUUGUUUUGAAGCUUAAGCCAUGCAUGUGUAAGAAUAAGCAUUUAAACAGCAAAUCUGCAUACAGCUCAUUAACCUGGAUCAAUGUGGGCAGGAGAGUCAAGUUACACGGAUAACCGCAGAAAUUCUGGGGCUAAUACGUGUUUCGGGGCAACCUGUGAUGCGCGAUUUUCCUCCGGUGCUGGAAGCAGCUCAUUAGGAUUGAAUCGCAGUAUCCUAGGACCAAUUUAGGUCCUCUUCUGCAUCGCGUCCAGCCGCAUCAUCUUGUAGCGAGGGUCUUGCCACCUGCUCGGAUGUAACGCGUACGAGGAAUUGACGUUCGAUUUCGGAGAAGGAGCCUGAGAAACAGCUACUACUUCUAAGGGAGGCAGCAGGCGCGAAAAUUACCCAAUGGCGAUUCGCCGAGGUAGUGAAGACAUGUAACAACGCAGUUCUCGUUUGAGAGUUGCGAUUGGAAUGAGUUGCGUACAAAUCACGCAGCGAGGAUCAAAUGGAGGAAAAGUCUGGUGCCAGCACCCGCGGUAAUUCCAGCUCCAUUAGUGUAACUUAGCGUUGUUGCGGUUGAAAAGCUCGUAGUCGGAGGUGGAUGGAUUUAUUCGCUCGGUCUACCGAUUGGUCUGAACGACGAGAAACCAUCUUUGUUCGUAUGCGUAGGUUUGUACUUAACUGUGCGAGCCUAGAUCGCUGCGGACUGUAUACUGUGAACAAAUCAGAGCGCUCAAAGCAGGCUUAUGCUUGUAUGUGUUAGCAUGGCAUAUUAAAAGAAGGCAGUCGACAACCUAUCGGGGGGUGUAGGCUGCAAUGAUCAAUGGGAGUGGACGAGGCUGUCGGUACUGCUGGGCGAGCGGUGAAAUGUGUCGACCCUAGCAAGACCAUCUGAUGCAAAGGCUGUCAGCUAGCUCAUUUUCGUCGAUCAAGAACGAAAGUUUGGGGAUCGAAGAUGAUCAGAUACCGUCGUAGUCCCAACCGUAAACUAUGGCGACCGUGUAUCAGAAGGAGCCCACGAUGGCCCUUUUGGCGCCCUGAGAGAAAUCAGAGUUAUUCGUCUCCGGGGGGAGUAUGGUCACAAGGCUGAAACUUAAAAGAAUUGACGGAAGCACACCACCAGGAGUGGAGUCUGCGGCUUAAUUCGACCCAACACGGGGAAUCUUACCGAGUCAGGACAUAGCUAGGAUUGACAGAUUAACUGGAUCUUUCUUGAUUCUAUGGGUGGUGGUGCAUGGCCGAUCUUAGUCGGUGAGGUGACUUGUCUGGUUAAUUCCGAUAACGGACGAGACCUUGGUCUAUUAAAUAGAUAGUCGUACGGCUUAAUGGGUGAAAGGUGUGGGCGUCC